GUCUGGCUGGCUCAGUCGGUAGAGCAUGCGACUCCUGAUCUCGGGGUUGUGAGGUCAAGCCCCAUGUUGGGCG
rnacentral:tRNA from 1 species